UUAAACUGAAGAGUUUGAUCCUGGCUCAGAUUGAACGCUGGCGGCAUGCCUUACACAUGCAAGUCGAACGGCAGCACGGGUGCUUGCACCUGGUGGCGAGUGGCGAACGGGUGAGUAAUACAUCGGAACAUGUCCUGUAGUGGGGGAUAGCCCGGCGAAAGCCGGAUUAAUACCGCAUACGAUCCAUGGAUGAAAGCGGGGGACCUUCGGGCCUCGCGCUAUAGGGUUGGCCGAUGGCUGAUUAGCUAGUUGGUGGGGUAAAGGCCUACCAAGGCGACGAUCAGUAGCUGGUCUGAGAGGACGACCAGCCACACUGGGACUGAGACACGGCCCAGACUCCUACGGGAGGCAGCAGUGGGGAAUUUUGGACAAUGGGCGAAAGCCUGAUCCAGCAAUGCCGCGUGUGUGAAGAAGGCCUUCGGGUUGUAAAGCACUUUUGUCCGGAAAGAAAUCCUUG
rnacentral:rRNA from 1 species